rnacentral:tRNA from 1 species
GUUUUAAUAAUUUAAAAAAAAUAAUGGUCUUGUAAAUCAUAAAUAGAUUAUAUUCUUUAAAACU